rnacentral:rRNA from 1 species
GAGUUNGAUCAUGGCUCAGGAUAAACGCUGGCGGCAUGCNUAAGACAUGCAAGUCGUACGAAGGGACCCUUUGACAAGUUGGAAAUAUUUGAAAGCUUGCUUUAAGAUAAUGAAAAUUUAGAUUAGGAUUUUCCCUUAGUGGCAAACGGGUGAGUAACGCGUGGGCAACCUGCCCUGAACAGAGGGAUAGCCACCGGAAACGGUGAUUAAUACCUCAUGAAGCGAGAGGGUCGCAUGACCUACUUGUUAAAGAUUUUAUCGGUUCAGGAUGGGCCCGCGUCUGAUUAGCUAGUUGGUAGGGUAACGGCCUACCAAGGCGACGAUCAGUAGCCGACCUGAGAGGGUGAUCGGCCACACUGGAACUGAGACACGGUCCAGACUCCUACGGGAGGCAGCAGUGGGGAAUAUUGCACAAUGGGCGCAAGCCUGAUGCAGCAACGCCGCGUGAAUGAUGAAGGCCUUCGGGUCGUAAAGUUCUGUCAAGUGGGACGAAGGCUGCAUUGUGAAUAGCGAUGCAGAUGACGGUACCUAAAGAGGAAGCUCCGGCUAACUACGUGCCAGCAGCCGCGG